GCCCCCAUAGCUCAGUGGUAGAGCGUUUCACUCGUAAUGAAAAGGUCCACUGUUCGAUCCAGUGUCGGGGCA
rnacentral:tRNA from 1 species